rnacentral:tRNA from 1 species
GGGCGGUUAGCUCAAUGGUAGAGCGAACGCUUGACGUGCGUUAGGUUAUAGGUUCGAUCCCUAUACCGCCCA